rnacentral:rRNA from 2 species
UGGGGAAUAUUGGACAAUGGGCGCAAGCCUGAUCCAGCCAUGCCGCGUGAGUGAUGAAGGCCCUAGGGUUGUAAAGCUCUUUCAACGGUGAAGAUAAUGACGGUAACCGUAGAAGAAGCCCCGGCUAACUUCGUGCCAGCAGCCGCGGUAAUACGAAGGGGGCUAGCGUUGUUCGGAAUUACUGGGCGUAAAGCGCACGUAGGCGGAUUGGUAAGUUAGGGGUGAAAUCCCAGGGCUCAACCCUGGAACUGCCUUUAAUACUGCUGAUCUAGAGUUCGAGAGAGGUGAGUGGAAUUCCGAGUGUAGAGGUGAAAUUCGUAGAUAUUCGGAGGAACACCAGUGGCGAAGGCGGCUCACUGGCUCGAUACUGACGCUGAGGUGCGAAAGCGUGGGGAGCAAACAGG